UUAGAUACCCUGGUAGUCCACACUGUAAACGAUGGAUACUAGGUGUAGGGAAUAUUAAGUUUUCUGUGCCGUCGCAAACGCAAUAAGUAUCCCACCUGGGGAGUACGACCGCAAGGUUGAAACUCAAAGGAAUUGACGGGGGCCCGCACAAGCAGUGGAGUAUGUGGUUUAAUUCGAAGCAACGCGAAGAACCUUACCAGGGCUUGACAUAUACAGGAAUAUGCUAGAGAUAGCAUAGCUCUUCGGAGUCUGUAUACAGGUGGUGCAUGGUUGUCGUCAGCUCGUGUCGUGAGAUGUUGGGUUAAGUCCCGCAACGAGCGCAACCCCUGUUUCUAGUUGCCAGCACGUAAAGGUGGGAACUCUAGAGAGACUGCCGGUGAUAAAUCGGAGGAAGGUGGGGACGACGUCAAAUCAUCAUGCCCUUUAUGUCCUGAGCUACACACGUACUACAAUGGCUACAACAAAGAGAAGCGAAGCAGAGAAUGUGGUGCAAAACUCAAAAAAGUANUCUCAGUNUCGGAAUUGAAGGCUGAAAUUCGCCUUCAUGAAGCCGGAAUUGCUAGUAAUGGGCAGGUCAGCAUACUGCCGUGGAAUACGUUCCCCGGGCCUUGUACACANCCGCCCGUCACACCAUGNAGAAGUNGGGAAUACCCGAAGCCUGUGAGCUAACUNUAAGAGGCAGCAGUCGAAGGUAGAAUCAUGAUUGGGGGUGAAAGUCUAACAAAG
rnacentral:rRNA from 1 species